ensembl:lncRNA
GGUAGUUACCGUUUCAGAACGGCAGUUACCGUUCCAGAACGGCAUAUGCCAUGGUAUGUCAGUGGUCGCGACGGCAGUUACCGUUUCAGAACGGCAGUUACCGUUCCAGAACGGCAUAUGCCAUGGUAUGUCAGUGGUCGCGGUGGCACAUGCCACAGGCCAUUAAACGAUCUCGGCGUCUCUCCCCCAACAUGCUAGGUCAAUUUUCGGCAUCAUAAGGUUGAGUGAUAUAGUCAUGUCAUACACCGUUUGAAAGCUUAGAAUCUGUCAACCAAUGUCAACCAUUCGGUGGAAUAAAUAUGUUUAGUAAAUAUAGAUCAAAUAUAUCCUAGUGUCUUAGGUCAAAAUAGCCCCCCUCACCCUCCUCCUCCCUUGGUCCAUUCUAACUUUAUCGUAGUUGUGGAUAUCCUUAGCAAUGAGUUGAUACUUCAUGUUGGGUCUUGAAAUGUUCAUAAGCGUCCACAGAAAUCGAAUAUCAAUGUUAUUUUAGUCUAAUUACAUUGUGUAUAUGCACAAGCCAUCUUAUACAAAGCAGCCGAAAAAUAGAAAACCGAAACGCUGCAAUGUUUUUUUGUAGAAAACUGCUUUUAUGUUUAUACUGGUUUUCUUUGACUUUUAGAGACACGUCAGUGUAAUUGUGAAUGGCGAGAGCCCUGAAAUACAGCUGGACAGCAGCGGUCUACAUCACUGCCCCUUCUGCAGAUACAAAGGGUCAAAAUGUGAUAUCGACCAUCACAUUAAAUGCCAUGCCUCGGUUAAAUACAGAGGUACAUUUUCUUAUUUUUUUAUGAUUAUUAUUUAUAUUAUUAUUGUUAUUAUAUAUUUGUAUGUAUGUAAUGUAUGCCGUUUACUCACCAAGGUCUGCAGAGGAGCUUUCAGGAAGCAGGAAGAGAAGACGGGAGGAAAAAAAGCUACAGACAAAACUGAAGACCAGGAACUGGAACCUGGGAACCUGGAAGAUUAUGUUGUCCUGAAGGACACAAUUCAGGCAGCAGCAUGGUGCCAGUUACAGUCCUUCAAGGACAGCGUUUCUCUCCCAGAGGUCAUUGGGAUGGAAGGUUGGGAGCAGAUGGCAGCAUCAACAGAGCGCAAAUCCCAUGACGGCGGGGAUGAGGAAGAAACGUGGAAACCAUUCCAAUUCUCAUUCAGAUUACAUACUGACUAUGAACUGUUCUGUGUGGAGAUGAUGGACAGGAGAAACCUGAAGGUGUUUGCCUCUUUUGAGUCAAACACCUCUCCCCCUCCCCGUCCCCCUCCCCGUGACGCCUGCGCCACACGACUCCAAUGUAGUCUGAUGAUGCAGCAUAAUGGCGGCGCUUGGCAGCUAUGGCGGCGGUGACGGCGAUGUCGGGCGACAGAGUGUGAAGCAAGAGUGGCAUCCACCUCACUGAGGAAGGCGUCAGUGUGUUCCCCCUUUGUUGUUUGACUUUGUUUGUUCUACUCUUUAUUGAUUUAUCUUUUAUGUUAAUAGUUUACAAUCUAUUUUUUGUAGUUGUUAUUUUUUAAUUGUUUUGUUGAAUAAAAAGACAGUUGUUAGUGCUCCUGUGAUUGGUGUAACUUAAUGUGCUUCACACAUGUAGCUUUUCAUUAUGUCUAUUGAGGUAAAUUUUUUGCCCUUAGAUGUGGUCACUUCGUUAUUCCUCACAUUACAUCUGUUAAGGUCAUACCUUUGGGUCCCAGUCUUCAUAGUUCCCCAAAUCUUAUUUUGGCUCUUACUGGGCCUGUAACUCACAGACAGACGGGUACAGGAGUUCGGACACGUGGCAUUGUUUACAGGCAAGGGUGGAUUACCGCACGGGCACACCGGGCACAUGCCCAGGGGCCCAAGGGCGGCCCUAAGCCAGAGCUUCUGUGUGAAGUCGCUGUUAGUAACUUUUAAUGUUGCAUUGUCAAAGCAAUCAGUAGAGAAAUACAAAAAUUCAAGCGAAAACGGCAAUAGUAGGGCUAUUAAUACUGAGUAAAAAAAAAAAAAGAUCACUAGGGGGCACUAUUUCACUUAGUGAAUUUGAGACAGGUCACGAACAAGGCACUGUGAUUUAAACAUUGAGCAACGGCGAACGGUAGUAACGUGAACUCUUAAGUGGAACCUUAAUAGGUCCAUGAGUGGAACAGUUAAGCGAAAAAAAAAUAAACAAGAGAAUAUGUAUUUGCAAGUCGUUUAGGCUAUGCUUAACUUUAUAAUAGUUCCAUGGUACGCAGCAAGAAAGAUACCAAGUCACAAUACUCCCGUACCAUCUGUUUGUAUAGUUUAAUUAACAGCAUGGGCUCCCGCUAGCUUAACAUAGUAUUACCGUUUCUUGCAUUAACAAGAGCAGCAGAAAUCUGCUCAAUCGUCAGUGGUCGGAGUGCCCGCCCCCUCCAUGUGGACUGAGUGCCCGCCCCUCCAUGUGGGCGGAGGGCCGGCCCCCCUCCAUGUGGACUGAGUGCCCGCCCCCUCCAUGUGGGCUCCGUCUGCGGGCUGCAGUCAGGGGUACUUGAGUCGGUUCGCAGAGAAUACUCGAACGCAGCAUAAGUACAGCACUUUACGGAGGAUUAUAAACUGGCCGACCUCUGAACCUACCCCCCCACACCCCAUAAAUAUUUUUUCAUCGAAUCUACACGAUUCACGGAGGUCACCUAUUUUGGUUUCAAAACGGUGAAUUUCGCCGAAAGGUGAGUGAUUUUCAUGCCCCGAUUAUUGUUAUUUAUAUCAGAGAUUAUUUAAUCAAACCCGAUCUAAGCUCUAUCACCCAAACACGGCGGCGUUUGGGUUUCCUACAUCGGACUCCAGCGCAGCCACGGCCGACAACUAUCUUUAUUCUGGGUGGAAAUAGUAACAUAGUUACGCCAUUAAAUGCGUUUAUGGAAACAUUUUUAGUGAGAAAUGUGCAUUUUACUUUCAUAAUGUUCGCUCGGUGAAUGUGAAGGAUGUUUGGUUUGAUAGUUAUGACGAAGAGGGAACUCUCCGUUCACUUGCAUGGACAUGGACUCAUCUAGCUGCGUUGGCGCGUUGAAAGCGUUGAACCGAGUAACCACCACACAAUGAUCAAGCGUCAGGUUAGGCGCGUUACUUGCGUUAUCCAACGCGAGUAACGCGUUUGGUGUGGCCGCACCGUAACAACUCCUAAAGGUACGGCCACACUGAACGUGUAACGCGCCUACGCAGCUAGAUGAGCCCGCCCAAAACUUAUUUUCCCCCGCUACUUUUCUUUUGCCCCACAAACAUGGCU